rnacentral:rRNA from 1 species
GAGGCGCGAAAGCGUGGAGAGCAAACAGGAUUAGAUACCCUGGUAGUCCACGCCGUAAACGAUGAGUGCUAAGUGUUAGAGGGUUUCCGCCCUUUAGUGCUGCAGCUAACGCAUUAAGCACUCCGCCUGGGGAGUACGGUCGCAAGACUGAAACUCAAAGGAAUUGACGGGGGCCCGCACAAGCGGUGGAGCAUGUGGUUUAAUUGGAAGCAACGCGAAGAACCUUACCAGGUCUUGACAUCCUCUGACAACCCUAGAGAUAGGGCUUUCCCCUUCGGGGGACAGAGUGACAGGUGGUGCAUGGUUGUUGUCAGCUCGUGUCGUGAGAUGUUGGGUUAAGUCCCGCAACGAGCGCAACCCUUGAUUUUAGUUGCCAGCAUUCAGUUGGGCACUCUAAGAUGACUGCCGGUGACAAACCGGAGGAAGGUGGGGAUGACGUCAAAUCAUCAUGCCCCUUAUGACCUGGGCUACACACGUGCUACAAUGGACGGUACAAAGGGCUGCAAGACCGCGAGGUUUAGCCAAUCCCAUAAAACCGUUCUCAGUUCGGAUUGUAGGCUGCAACUCGCCUACAUGAAGCUGGAAUCGCUAGUAAUCGCGGAUCAGCAUGCCGCGGUGAAUACGUUCCCGGGCCUUGUACACACCGCCCGUCUCCCCACGAGAGUUUGUAACCCCCGAAGUCGGAGAGGUU